GACGAACGCUGGCGGCGUGCUUAACACAUGCAAGUCGAACGGAAAGGCCCUUCGGGGUACUCGAGUGGCGAACGGGUGAGUAACACGUGGGUGAUCUGCCCUGCACUUUGGGAUAAGCCUGGGAAANCUGGGUCUAAUACCGGAUAGGACUACGGCCUGCAUGGGUUGUGGUGGAAAGUUUUUGCGGUGUGGGAUGGGCCCGCGGCCUAUCAGCUUGUUGGUGGGGUGAUGGCCUACCAAGGCGACGACGGGUAGCCGGCCUGAGAGGGUGUCCGGCCACACUGGGACUGAGAUACGGCCCAGACUCCUACGGGAGGCAGCAGUGGGGAAUAUUGCACAAUGGGCGCAAGCCUGAUGCAGCGACGCCGCGUGGGGGAUGACGGCCUUCGGGUUGUAAACCCCUUUCAGCACAGACGAAGCGCAAGUGACGGUAUGUGCAGAAGAAGCACCGGCCAACUACGUGCCAGCAGCCGCGGUAAUACGUAGGGUGCGAGCGUUGUCCGGAAUUACUGGGCGUAAAGAGCUCGUAGGUGGUUUGUCGCGUUGUUCGUGAAAACUCACAGCUUAACUGUGGGCGCGCGGGCGAUACGGGCAGACUGGAGUACUGCAGGGGAGACUGGAAUUCCUGGUGUAGCGGUGGAAUGCGCAGAUAUCAGGAGGAACACCGGUGGCGAAGGCGGGUCUCUGGGCAGUAACUGACGCUGAGGAGCGAAAGCGUGGGGAGCGAACAGGAUUAGAUACCCUGGUAGUCCACGCCGUAAACGGUGGGUACUAGGUGUGGGUUUCCUUCCUUGGGAUCCGUGCCGUAGCUAACGCAUUAAGUACCCCGCCUGGGGAGUACGGCCGCAAGGCUAAAACUCAAAGGAAUUGACGGGGGCCCGCACAAGCGGCGGAGCAUGUGGAUUAAUUCGAUGCAACGCGAAGAACCUUACCUGGGUUUGACAUGCACAGGACGCGUCUAGAGAUAGGCGUUCCCUUGUGGCCUGUGUGCAGGUGGUGCAUGGCUGUCGUCAGCUCGUGUCGUGAGAUGUUGGGUUAAGUCCCGCAACGAGCGCAACCCUUGUCUCAUGUUGCCAGCACGUCAUGGUGGGGACUCGUGAGAGACUGCCGGGGUCAACUCGGAGGAAGGUGGGGAUGACGUCAAGUCAUCAUGCCCCUUAUGUCCAGGGCUUCACACAUGCUACAAUGGCCGGUACAAAGGGCUGCGAUGCCGUGAGGUGGAGCGAAUCCUUUCAAAGCCGGUCUCAGUUCGGAUCGGGGUCUGCAACUCGACCCCGUGAAGUCGGAGUCGCUAGUAAUCGCAGAUCAGCAACGCUGCGGUGAAUACGUUCCCGGGCCU
rnacentral:rRNA from 1 species